AGAGUUUGAUCCUGGCUCAGGAUGAACGCUGGCGGCGUGGAUAAGGCAUGCAAGUCGAACGCUCCUCUGAAGUUCGAAAAAGCUAAGGAGGGGAGUGGCGAACGGGUUAAUAACACGUGGGUAACAUACCCCGGCCACGGCCAUAACUCUUCGAAAGAAGAGCUAAUAGCCGAUGGUCCCCCCACCAUAAUUUGGUGAGGGGUAAAGGUCAUCCGCAAGGAUGGCCGGGCAGGGAAUGGCCUGCGGCUCAUCAGCUAGUUGGUAGGGUAACGGCCUACCAAGGCGAUGACGGGUAGGGGAAGUGAGAGCUUGUCCCCCAACAUAGGCACUGCGACACGGGCCUAACUCCUACGGGAGGCAGCAGUCGAGAAUAUUUCGCAAUGGGCGAAAGCCUGACGAAGCGACGCCGCGUGCUCGAAGAAGCCCUUCGGGGUGUAAAGAGCUUUUCUGGAGGAGGAACCUUCGGGUGACAGUACUCCAGGAAUAAGGGGGUGCAAAUUCUGUGCCAGCAGCCGCGGUAAUACAGAACCCCCAAGCGUUAUCCGGAUUUAUUGGGCGUAAAGCGUCUGUAGGCGACUCGCCAAGUUUUCUGUUAAAUUUCUAGGGCUCAACCUUAGAACUGCGGAAAAAACUGGCGGGAUUGAGGGCGUUAGAGGCUGAUGGAACGGUCGGUGUAGGGGUGAAAUCCGUUGAUAUCGACCGGAACACCAAAAGCGAAGGCAUUCAGCUAGGGCGACCCUGACGCUGAGAGACGAAAGCGUGGGGAGCAAAAAGGAUUAGAUACCCUGGUAGUCC
rnacentral:rRNA from 1 species